CUUCACAGUCCAGACUUGAUGUUAAACCUUUGCACACAGCCCCCUGCUUUGCUUUGAGCCUAUCCAAAUACUGCUUUAUUUAAGUUUCACCUAAACUCCAUUAUCCCUCAAAAUCCUAUACUAACCUCUAUCUUUUCCUUCGUUUGGUGACACACCUCACAAUUCCCCUGGUGCGUGAUCUCCCUCAUUGCAAUGGUACGAUAAAUCUGAUUUUGCUGAGUAAAAACUCAUUUCUGGUGAUCCUGGCUGAUUAGACUACGACAGGAGAUGAGGUGUGGGAACUAAUGAGAACAUAUCUGGCAUGAUGCCACAGUAAAAAUAAAAUAAUCAAAAAGUGAAGCGUAAUGAGGAUGUGUGUCACUGAUGACCUCUGUUCAAGAAAUCCCAUUUGUCCUCUUGGCUUCUUCACAUUACACCAAGGCUUCAACCUUGACCAAUGAAAUGAAAGUCAGAUGUUCAAGGCCUGGGUGUCAGCUUAGCAUGAAGAACAUGACAACCAGCUUCUCAGACGGGGAAGGGAUCUGCCAAUUCACCUACCUUGUAGGUUUCACAGACAGGAAAUCUUAAACUGUUUCAAGCCCCAAAGUUUCGUUGUUUACACCGAUACUGCCACUGAUAUGUUGCUGGGGCCUGCCACCUGUCAACCUUGUCCAACCUACCCAAAAAGGAAGCUGUAAGGGUGCAUGUGCCAUUACUGUAGAA